UGGGGAAUAUUGGACAAUGGGGGCAACCCUGAUCCAGCAAUGCCGCGUGUGUGAAGAAGGCCUUCGGGUUGUAAAGCACUUUCGGUGGGGACAAACAAGGCGGAGCUAACAUCUCCGUCCCUGAUGGUACCCAAAGAAGAAGCACCGGCUAACUCUGUGCCAGCAGCCGCGGUAAUACAGAGGGUGCAAGCGUUAAUCGGAAUUACUGGGCGUAAAGCGUGCGUAGGUGGUUUGUUAAGUCAGGUGUGAAAUCCCGGGGCUCAACCUCGAAAUUGCGCUUGAUACUGGCAGACUCGAGUGUGGUAGAGGAUAGUGGAAUUCCCGGUGUAGCGGUGAAAUGCGUAGAUAUCGGGAGGAACAUCAGUGGCGAAGGCGGCUAUCUGGACUAACACUGACACUGAGGUACGAAAGCGUGGGUAGCAAACAGGAUUAGAUACCCUCGUAGUCCCUGAGCGGGCUGGCAAGGCGCAU
rnacentral:rRNA from 1 species